UAGUUAUAUUUACUCUUCUCCUCCACCACCUUACGAGUAUAAGUCGCCACCGCCACCAUCACCUUCACCACCACCUCCUUAUGUUUACAAAUCGCCACCUCCUCCAUCCCCAUCACCUCCACCACCUUAUGAGCACAAGGCUCCUGCUUAUGAGUACAAGUCACCACCACCACCAACUCCUUCACCACCACCUCCUUAUGUGUACAAGUCACCACCACCGCCAUCUCCUUCACCACCACCUCCUUAUGUGUACAAGUCACCACCACCACCCUCACCUUCCCCACCACCACCAUACUACUACAAGAGUCCUCCACCACCUUCUCCUUCACCUCCACCUCCUUACUACUACAAAUCUCCUCCACCACCCUCACCUUCCCCACCACCACCAUACUAUUACAAGUCUCCUCCACCACCAUCUCCCUCACCUCCACCACCAUAUUACUACAAGUCUCCCCCACCACCCUCACCCUCCCCUCCACCCCCAUAUAUACACAAGGAUCCACCAUACUAUUACAAGUCCCCACCACCACCUUCACCAUCUCCUCCACCACCAUACUACUACAAAUCUCCCCCACCCCCUUCACCGUCUCCUCCACCACCAUACUACUACAAAUCUCCUCCUCCUCCAUCUCCUAUUCCCAAAACACCUUACUACUACAAAUCUCCCCCACCCCCUUCACCAUCUCCUCCACCACCAUACUACUACAAAUCUCCCCCACCCCCUUCACCGUCUCCUCCACCACCAUACUACUAUAAAUCUCCCCCACCACCGUCACCCUCUCCACCACCACCUUACUAUUACAAGUCUCCUCCCCCACCUUCACCAUCUCCUCCACCACCAUACUACUACAAAUCUCCUCCUCCUCCAUCUCCUAUUCCCCAUACACCUUACUAUUACAAAUCUCCCCCACCACCUUCACCAUCUCCUCCACCACCAUACUACUACAAAUCUCCUCCUCCUCCAUCUCCUAUUCCCCGUACACCUUACUAUUACAAAUCUCCCCCACCACCUUCACCAUCUCCUCCACCACCAUACUACUACAAAUCCCCUCCUCAUCCAUCUCCCAUUCCCCAUACACCUUACUAUUACACAUCUCCCCCACCACCUUCACCGUCUCCUCCACCACCAUAUUACUACAAAUCUCCUCCCCCUCCGUCUCCUAUUCCCCACACACCUUACUACUACAAGUCCCCACCACCACCAAAGGUCCUUCCACCACCAUACUAUUACAAUUCUCCUCCUCCACCUGUUGUGUAUCCUCACCCAUAUCCCUACCACCACUCACUUAUUGUGAGGGUAGUCGGUAAAGUCUACAGCUUCAGAUGUUAUGAUUGGAAUUAUCCUGCAAAGUCUCAUAACAAGAAACAUCUCAAAGGUACAUUACAUUUCUUAGGACCGGACCUCUUUAGAGUAAUGUGUUUAGAGAUAAUGCACAAUUUUUUAUUUUUUUAUCUCGUAAAGGUUUAUUUAUUAUAAUCACAAUUUCACUUUUGUCAAAAAGAAAAACAAUUUUACUAUAUAUAGUUUUAAUCAUUAACAUUUUGAUGUAAAAAGAAUACAAUUCUCUAUUACCUUUUUACUAUGAUAUAUAUACAAAGAUUAUUCAAAUCUAUAUAUCCAACCUAAUUUCCAUCCAAAAAAAUAGAAAACAUAGGGUGCUUUGAACGCCUGCAGCAUCACAUGAAUAAAUAAAAACAAUCAAUAAUCAACCUUGUUCUAAUUUAUUUUAGACAGCGAUUGUUAAGCAUACUGCUCUUUUAAUUACAUUUUUUUUAAAGAUGCUCUUUUAAUUAUAUUGUCCUAAUAUAAUAUGUGUCUUUAUAUAUUACUUGUCGUAAACUAAUUUUAUUAUGGGUGCAGGAGCUGUUGUUGAGGUGACAUGCAAAGCCGGGAGCAAAAUUGUCAAGGCUUAUGGAAAAACUAAGAACAAUGGAAAGUAUGCCAUCACAGUUAAGGACUUUGACUAUGUCAAAUAUGGUUCGACAGUGUGCAAGGCUGCCCUAUAUGCUCCACCUAAGGGUUCACCCUUCAACAUACCUACAAAGCUAAAUCAAGGAACAAAGUUGUACUUGAAAUCCAAAGACAAGUACGAGGUUGUGCUCAAGGCUAAGCCAUUUGCUUAUGCUUCAAAGAAACAUUUCAAAGAAUGUGAGAAGCCUAAGCCUUCACCAACUCCUUACUACUACAAAUCACCUCCACCUCCCUCACCAGUUUACAAAUACAACUCACCACCUCCACCGGUCCAUUAUUAUUCACCUCCAUACACCUACAAGUCACCUCCUCCCCCUGUGAAAGCGGCACCAACUCCUUACUACUACAAAUCACCUCCACCACCCGCACCGGUUUACAAGUACAACUCACCCCCUCCACCGGUCCAUUAUUAUUCACCACCAUAUACCUAUAAGUCACCUCCUCCCCCUGUGAAAGCGGCACCAACUCCUUACUACUACAAAUCACCUCCACCUCCCGCACCGGUUUACAAGUACAACUCCCCACCUCCACCGGUCCAUUAUUAUUCACCUCCAUAUACCUACAAGUCACCUCCUCCCCCUGUGAAAGUGGCACCAACUCCUUACUACUACAAAUCACCUCCACCACCCGCACCGGUUUACAAGUACAACUCACCACCUCCACCGGUCCAUUAUUAUUCUCCACCAUACUACUACAAGUCACCACCCCCACCAUCUCCAUCACCUCCUCCACCAUACUAUUUCAAAUACUAUUACAAGUCCCCACCUCCACCAUCACCAUCCCCUCCUCCACCUUAUUAUUACAAAUCUCCUCCUCCACCAAAACAAAUUUCACACCCUCCAUACUACUAUAAGUCACCACCCCCACCAUCACCAUCACCUCCUCCACCAUACUAUUAUAAGUCUCCACCUCCACCAUCACCAUCUCCCCCACCACCUUAUUAUUAUAAGUCACCACCCCCACCAUCCCCGUCCCCUCCUCCACCAUACUACUACAAGUCUCCACCUCCACCUAAAGAAAUAUCACAUCCUCCAUAUAACUAUAAGUCACCACCCCCACCAUCACCAUCCCCUCCCCCUCCAUACUAUUACAAAUCUCCUCCACCACCAUCACCAUCACCACCACCUCCCUACUAUUACAAAUCACCUCCACCACCAUCACCAUCACCUCCCCCUCCAUACUAUUACAAAUCUCCUCCACCACCAUCACCAUCACCACCACCUCCUUACUAUUACAAAUCACCUCCACCACCAUCCCCAUCACCACCACCUCCAUACUACUACAAAAGUCCCCCUCCACCAUCUCCAUCUCCUCCAUCCCCAUAUUACUACAAAUCUCCACCACCACCAUCACCAUCCCCACCCCCUCCCUACUAUUACAAAUCACCUCCACCUCCCUCACCAUCACCGCCACCUCCUUACUAUUACAAAUCACCUCCACCUCCCUCACCAUCACCGCCACCUCCUUACUAUUACAAAUCUCCCCCACCUCCAUCUCCAUCUCCACCACCUCCUUACCACUAUCAAAGUCCUCCUCCACCAUCUCCCAUUUCUCAUCCUCCCUACUACUACAAAUCCCCUCCACCACCAUCGCCGUCUCCUCCACCUCCUUACCACUAUGUGAGUCCUCCCCCACCAGUAAAGUCACCUCCACCACCAACUUAUAUCUAUGCUUCACCACCACCACCUCACUACAACUAAGCUCAAAGAGCAGAAGCUCCGUUCAUUAUAAAUCAUGUAAGUUUAUCAUCUUCAAUUUUCUGAAUGUGUGCGUGUGUAUUUGUUUUUUUGUUACAAGAUACUAACAAAAUUCUUUUCUUAUUUAUGUUCAGGUUUUAGUUUUCAUCUAGGAAUAAAGGCAAGCUCCAUUUGGAGUAAAGUGAAACUUCUAGCUUCGUGUCCGAAUUCGUUAAAUAAAUGUCGGGAUGUAUCGUCUUUGAGCUAUAAUAUUUCUGAUCCAGACAAUAUCUAUUUUGUUUCUUUGGUGGCAAUCUUGCACUUCCUGGUCUUAGUCUAUUCAAGUGACAGACAAAUCAAAAGGGAGAAGCGAGAUUAAUUUAUUUGUGAUCUCUUUGAUUUAUUUGUGCAUAUAUCAAUAUGAACGUGUAUGAUAUUUUUCUAUUUAUUGAAGAUUUUUUUACUGUAACCUGUUAUUGUGUUUGUCAAAAGGUGUUAAUAAAGAAUCACAUUCAAUUUCUGUUAAAUUAUCAGUAUUUGUUUCUUUCUAACAACUACCAUUCAUGCAAAUGUGGCUAUUAAAAAAAGCUCCAAUGACACAUAAAAAGCUUCCAAACAAUAUAUAAACAAAGAUGCAUUGUUUUCUGUUAAGAAGGGGACAGGGUUACGGUUACUUGUGUACCAAGUUAGUUAUCCAUGCUUUCUUGUUCAUAGGAUUUAUAUGGUGUAGUUGCACUUAGUUGCUAAAUGUAUGCAAGCUUUUCCUUUCUAUAAAUAAGCACACCUACUAUCAUUCUUCUCCACAUUCCUUUCUACUCUUCUAUCAUGAAUUGUUCAUCCACAUAAGAUGGUCACAGAGCACACCUAAUACUCUGCUACUGGUGUAUCAGUUCCUUUCCACCAGAAACUUAUGAUCUCUAAUUGAAAGAGAUCCUAAAGUUUUAAGAUUUCUACAAAAUACAUUAUUCUCAUUUUUGUACAAGUAUGAUACAAUUAUUCCCAAGUAUUAUUUAUUCUAAGGAAUAGAAUUUAGUUGUGGUUUCUCUAUUUAACCAACAUUUAUUUUUAAAUAACUAAAUUUAAAAAAAAAAUCCUGAAAUUAUUAAGUACAUACCUAACACAUUGUAAAAUUUUGUUCCCAAAGAAAAUAUUUUUGGCAAUAGAAUUUUCAGGAACUUCAUUCCUAGGAAUAUAAUUCUAUACUAAGAGAAGAGCUUAAGCAUUGAUACAUAACAAGACCAAUCCAUAUCCUAAUCACAAUCCUACUUUCACUAAAUACUUUCACUUAAGUGUGGUCUUGGAAAGGACAAAUGAAGAAAGACAUUCCAGAGGUAUGGUAAGGGACAAUAUCUGCAGUUAUGCACAUAUUGCAAGAUUGUGAGGAACUACCGGACUGAUUUGAUUCACCAAAAAAUUUGGAAUAAAUAUUUCAGCCCAGAACUCAGACAAUGACUGGAUUGGAACCUUUCAGCUUCUAAUAUCGGUACUGUCCAAGGAAAUAGUCAUUCUCUUUUUGGAGUAGCUGUGAAGGAUUUAUGGAAAGAUAGAACUAAGCUGGUCUUUUCUAGAAACACCGCGAUUGGAACUACUCUAUUUUGGCUUGUAGCCAAUCCGGCUAAGUUUAUUAACAAUGUAGUUUGUACUCAAGCUCACAGUCACGAUGUUGUCAGCAACAGUGGGCAUAUUGUUUAGGUAGCCUGGAAUUUUCCUCCCCAACACUUCUUCAAAGUGAAUAUGAUGGAUCUCUACGGGAUUAUGUUAGUUUCCAGGAUCGAACUCAGAACCUCCUGAUUAUAACUCCUUCAAUGUAUGUCCCUUACCCACGUGGGGCCUCGGCUGUAAUUGUUAACAUGGUAAAAUUUGGCUCUUCCAAUAAUGGUUUUAUCCAAACUCGAGGUUGUUUAUCGUCUCCAACAAUCAGAUUGGAGAAUACUAGUGGUUCAUGCAUUUGAACAAACCAACUGUUGUGCAGAUUUUCUAGUUGAUUUUGUUUUUCCUUUUUUGAGUAUUUUAUUAGCCAAUGAUAUAAGAGGUUGUAGCCUACCUCUUUUGAUUUCUUAAGACAAUCACUUUUGCAUUAGAAAAAAACGACCCUACAUAAAAUUAAUGAUUGAAUUAAGAUAUAACUUCAGUUUGAAAUAUUGUAAAAUUCUAUACCACCAAAAACUGAGAAUUUUAGAACCAUACAGGUUGGUGGAGUGGUCAUCCAGAUAACUUUAACAUAAUUAACAGUCCAAAAAGUAAAUAGCUUUAUCCUUUAUUUUCAAUCUGAUGUGAUUUACUCUUAUCUGUUAAACAUUAUAAUUAAGAAUCCAAAGGGAACACUCACCUAAUCUCUCUCUUUUUUCUAGCUUUUUCACUAAACCACUGUGUCUGUGGUUACCACAUUUCCUUAUGGAAUCAAUAUCCAAUUUAUGUUAAAAACCAUUUCUACAUUUUGUGUUAAAAAUGAUCUAAACAAAGAUGAUUUAUUUCUCUUAAAUUCAACAUAGAUCAUAUUUACAUGGUUCAAACUUUCUAUUACACGGCAUUGACUUAGUUGCUUCACAUGGGGACACAACUAAUGCAUAUAUUAUUUUAUAUGCUUAUAGUAAUUUUAACAAGUGGCAAUGGGGCAUAUGUUUUGUCAAAAAAACACAAAAAACAGGAGGCAUGUGCAACUGAAGUCACUGCCAGCUUGGCACUAAGAUAUAGUAAAAUAAUUGACAUUUGAAGAAAACAAAGACGUUGCUACAUUUCUAUUCAAACAAGCGACAUCAAUAUCAGACAAUGGUGCUACAUUUAAUAAUACUACAGCUAUCCCCAUAAGCACCUCUUAGAAAGAAAAAAAAAUAUCCAUUAAAUUAAUGUUGGAAGAGUUAGCAACAUGUCCUCUCCCAAAAAAACUCAUGUUUGAUUCCUAGAGUCGUCCAUUUCGAAAGAAGCUCAACCCUGAUAAUAAAAACCUAGAUGUUAUGCUGCAGACUUAAAGAUCAAUUUCAUAAUGGAUCCAAAGGGCCUAAGCUGUGUGGGAUACUUAAGGGGGUAUAUUGAGGCUAAGGGUCAAAGAUCUUAAUUAUGGUCGGUUAAAAAAAGAAGAAAAAAAAAUUAUCUCUAAAUAUAAAGUCAACAAUAUUUCAAAUUGCAAGAUACAUUUAUUUAUUUUUUAAAUAUGUAUAUACCUCUUAUUAAUACUUACUAAUUUGUUUUGAGUGAUAAAAAGUUACGAGUUAGACAGAUCAGCACAUAAAAAAAGUAUUUGAAAAACAUCUACCAACAAAAUAAACACAUUAAAAACAAUACUACUUUUUUACAAUACUGUAUGUGAAAAUGACAAAAUCUUGAAAAAGAUGGAGGUAACAUGUACUCUUUUUUUUUUAGAGGGGAGCAUGUACUUUUCCACUAACAAUGUUGAUAAGAAACAUAUAAAAUACUAUUAGAGAAAGAAAAAAAAUAAUAAAUAAAGAAAUAUAUAAAAUACUGAGGAAUGACUCACUCAUGUCAAAUUUUAGCAAGGGAGAAGUGAUAUCACAUCAUUUUAGAAGAGGAAUGAGAAUAGAUAGAUCUAAUUUUUCUAGUAAGUUUGAAUAGUAGAAUCAUACUUCUUUGUCUUUUGUGAAAAUUUCAUAUUAUGGGAUCUAUUACUAGAAUACAGGUGAUUUUAUUCUGGAAGAUUGACUUUUUAUUAAAAUAAAAUAAAAGUACAUUUUUUAUUUCCAAAUGCUUAGUUGUUCAUUUAUAAAUAUUACAUUAUCCAACAGCACCAAACCCUAUUUCAUAACGGUACUCUGCACGUUUCAUUCAUUUACUGGUGCCUUAGUUUUUUGUUACAAACAGACAUUGAUCAGAGGAACAAAUGUAGAGACAAAUUGAAGAUAAUAUAUCACAUAAUAUUGUAGACACACCUUCACAUACAAAUGGGGUAAAGUCCCUCAUAGUAGUAUUAGAAAUAACACUUAGAGUAAAAUUUUGCUAAAUUUAACAUGAAAAUAAGUGUAAUGUAUUUUAUAGGCAGCUAUACAUAAUUAUUAAUUAGAACAAUUUUUUACACUGUCAAACAAAAAUUGAACAAUUUUUUACUAGCUUUAUGCUUUAUGAUGUUUUGAUUCCAUGUGCACAUUUCAAUUUUAGAACUAUUCCUUUCUAUGUUACUGAAAUAAUUCUAUCAUUAGGCAUUGACAUUUCCAUUAUGCGUGCACGUUAAAGUGUUUUCCCAAACAGAGAAAUAUUAAGAAAGGUUAAACUUUUGACUUAAAGACACAACUAAAAUAAGAUCCAAGGAAAACCCCAUUGAUUAUUUCUUGCACAAAAUUAAAAACCCCAUUGAUUAUUUCUUGCACAAAAUUAAAAUGCUAAUAAUUUUUCCUGGUCUAUAUUUUUCUCCUUCCGGGAAAUGGCAACAUCACAUGUUCAUCUCAUAAUUGAGAAAACACAUGUCUGGGAAAAUAUCUUAAAGAAAAGGCAGUAAAGUAAUAAAAAGUGCACCAAAUAGAGAUUAACUAGUACUCUUUGCAUGUCAACUAAGUGGUAUAAUUAUGUAUAUCACAUUCUUAAUAUUGAUUAUCUUGAUUGCACGAUAAGCCCCUCAAAUUGCUCAAUCGAUGAUUGCUUGAUAAGCCCAUCAAAUUGCCCAAUCGAUCGAAUCGUAACUUUCGAUAGACAUUUUUUUUAAGAAAACCCAAUUGGAUCAUAACUCCCCAUAGUCAUUUAUUUGAAAUUGUGAGCAAUUUGAUAACUUAUUGAGCAAUCACCAUUGAUUUUAGUCUCAAUUUAUCCUAAUGUUGUAACCCUGGAAUAAUGGAACAGUGAGUAAAUUUGGUUUCUCCGUCUCAAAAUAAGUGUCACAAUUUAACCAUGUGCACUACUCAUCAAAUCUACUUUGACAACAUUUUUUUUACUAAUAUAUAAAGACAAUGUUAGUACAUUACAUGUUCGAUUUGUCUUAGUUAAUGUUUUUAAAAUAUCGACUUUAUUAUAAUUUUUCUUAAUAGACAAUCAAAAAUAUCAAUUGUCAAAAUUGUGUAUUGAUAUGUAUGAAAAUCAAACUAUAACACUUACUUUGAGACGAAGAGAAUAACUAUUAAAAACUAAUGUUCAAAUAGAAAGAAAAGAAAACAAAGAUUCCAUACAAAGCUUGCAAAAUAGCUACAAUCAUAACCUAGAACAAAAAUCAUGACCACACACUAUAUCCAUUUUCCUUUUCCUAAAAAGCAAUUGAAGAUAAAAAAAAAAAAAAUAAUAAAUAAAAAAAAAAAAAAAAAAAAAAAAAANACCACCAUACUACUACAAAUCCCCACCUCCACCAUCGCCUUCUCCUCCACCACCAUACUACUACAAAUCCCCACCUCCACCAUCGCCUUCUCCUCCACCACCAUACUACUACAAAUCCCCACCUCCACCAUCGCCUUCUCCUCCACCACCAUACUACUACAAAUCCCCACCUCCACCAUCGCCUUCUCCUCCACCACCAUACUACUACAAAUCCCCACCUCCACCAUCGCCUUCUCCUCCACCACCAUACUACUACAAAUCCCCACCUCCACCAUCGCCUUCUCCUCCACCACCAUACUACUACAAAUCCCCACCUCCACCAUCGCCUUCUCCUCCACCACCAUACUACUACAAAUCCCCACCUCCACCAUCGCCUUCUCCUCCACCACCAUACUACUACAAAUCCCCACCUCCACCAUCGCCUUCUCCUCCACCACCAUACUACUACAAAUCCCCACCUCCACCAUCGCCUUCUCCUCCACCACCAUACUACUACAAAUCCCCACCUCCACCAUCGCCUUCUCCUCCACCACCAUACUACUACAAAUCCCCACCUCCACCAUCGCCUUCUCCUCCACCACCAUACUACUACAAAUCCCCACCUCCACCAUCGCCUUCUCCUCCACCACCAUACUACUACAAAUCCCCACCUCCACCAUCGCCUUCUCCUCCACCACCAUACUACUACAAAUCCCCACCUCCACCAUCGCCUUCUCCUCCACCACCAUACUACUACAAAUCCCCACCUCCACCAUCGCCUUCUCCUCCACCACCAUACUACUACAAAUCCCCACCUCCACCAUCGCCUUCUCCUCCACCACCAUACUACUACAAAUCCCCACCUCCACCAUCGCCUUCUCCUCCACCACCAUACUACUACAAAUCCCCACCUCCACCAUCGCCUUCUCCUCCACCACCAUACUACUACAAAUCCCCACCUCCACCAUCGCCUUCUCCUCCACCACCAUACUACUACAAAUCCCCACCUCCACCAUCGCCUUCUCCUCCACCACCAUACUACUACAAAUCCCCACCUCCACCAUCGCCUUCUCCUCCACCACCAUACUACUACAAAUCCCCACCUCCACCAUCGCCUUCUCCUCCACCACCAUACUACUACAAAUCCCCACCUCCACCAUCGCCUUCUCCUCCACCACCAUACUACUACAAAUCCCCACCUCCACCAUCGCCUUCUCCUCCACCACCAUACUACUACAAAUCCCCACCUCCACCAUCGCCUUCUCCUCCACCACCAUACUACUACAAAUCCCCACCUCCACCAUCGCCUUCUCCUCCACCACCAUACUACUACAAAUCCCCACCUCCACCAUCGCCUUCUCCUCCACCACCAUACUACUACAAAUCCCCACCUCCACCAUCGCCUUCUCCUCCCCCACCUUACUAUUACAAAUCCCCACCGCCACCUUCACCAUCUCCCCCACCACCCUACUACUAUAAAUCACCCCCACCACCUUCACCAUCUCCUCCACCACCAUACUACUACAAAUCACCCCCACCGCCAUAUGAACACAAGACUAAACCAUACUAUUACAAGUCUCCUCCACCACCAUAUGAACACAAGACUAAACCAUACUAUUACAAGUCCCCACCACCACCUUCACCAUCUCCUCCACCACCAUACUAUUACAAGUCCCCACCACCACCUUCACCGUCUCCACCCCCACCAUACUACUACAAAUCACCUCCUCCUCCAUCACCUAUUCCCCAUACACCUUACUACUACAAGUCCCCACCACCACCUAAGGUUCUUCCACCACCAUACUAUUACAACUCUCCUCCUCCACCUGUUGUGUAUCAUCACCCUCAUCCCUACCACCAUGCAUUGAUCGUGAAGGUAGUGGGUAACGUCUACAGCUUCAGAUGUUAUGACUGGGAGUAUCCUGAAAAGUCUCAUAACAAGAAACACCUCAAAGGUACAUCACAUUACAUUUCUCAAUUCUUUCAUUUUUAUAGAUUUUAUGUACAUCACUAUUGGCUCGUAGUUUCUCAAUACCAUUACAACUAAACUGCAAGUUUCAGUAAUGAGAUUCAUAUAGACAUGUUUUUAUUAACAUCUUUGUUUCUUAGAAAUUAUACAAACACUUAAUUUAGGUUUCUCCAUGUCCAAUAAAGUAAACAAUUGAUAUAUCAAAUUAACAUAUAUGAUAUAUCAUUUACCUCAUUAAAAUUUAAUAAUCCUGCCUAAUAUAAAGAUUCGGUUUGAAAAUGAUAGUUUAGUGAGCUUCUUUAUAAUAACACUCUCCAAUAUAUUAUGUUUUAAAAACAAUUAUAUUUCUAUUUGUCUAAAUUCAAAUUUGUUAUGGGACAGGUGCUGUUGUUGAAGUGACAUGCAAAGCCGGGAGCAAAAUCAUCAAGGCUUACGGUAAAACUAAGAUCAAUGGAAAGUAUGCCAUCACAGUUAAGGACUUUGACUAUGUCAAAUAUGGUUCAACAGUGUGCAAGGCUGCCCUUUAUGCUCCACCUAAGGGUUCACCCUUCAACAUACCUACAAAGCUAAACCAAGGAACAAACUUGUACUUGAAAUCCAAAGACAAGUACGAGGUUGUGCUCAAGGCUAAGCCAUUUGCUUAUGCUUCAAAGAAACAUUUCAAAGAAUGUGAGAAGUCCAAGCCUUCACCAACUCCUUACUACUACAAAUCACCUCCACCUCCCUCACCAGUUUACAAGUAUAACUCACCACCUCCACCCGUCCAUUAUUACUCACCUCCAUAUUACUACAAGUCACCUCCUCCCCCCGUGAAAGCGGCACCAACUCCUUACUACUACAAAUCACCUCCACCUCCCGCACCAGUUUACAAGUACAACUCCCCACCUCCGCCAGUCCAUUACUAUUCACCUCCAUACACCUAUAAGUCACCUCCUCCUCCUGUGAAAGCAGCACCAACUCCUUACUACUACAAAUCACCUCCACCUCCCGCACCGGUUUACAAGUACAACUCACCACCUCCACCGGUCCAUUAUUAUUCUCCACCAUACUACUACAAGUCACCACCCCCACCAUCUCCAUCACCUCCUCCACCAUACUAUUUCAAAUACUAUUACAAGUCCCCACCUCCACCAUCACCAUCCCCUCCUCCACCUUAUUAUUACAAAUCUCCUCCUCCACCAAAACAAAUUUCACACCCUCCAUACUACUAUAAGUCACCACCCCCACCAUCACCAUCACCUCCUCCACCAUACUAUUAUAAGUCUCCACCUCCACCAUCACCAUCUCCCCCACCACCUUAUUAUUAUAAGUCACCACCCCCACCAUCCCCGUCCCCUCCUCCACCAUACUACUACAAGUCUCCACCUCCACCUAAAGAAAUAUCACAUCCUCCAUAUAACUAUAAGUCACCACCCCCACCAUCACCAUCCCCUCCCCCUCCAUACUAUUACAAAUCUCCUCCACCACCAUCACCAUCACCACCACCUCCCUACUAUUACAAAUCACCUCCACCACCAUCACCAUCACCUCCCCCUCCAUACUAUUACAAAUCUCCUCCACCACCAUCACCAUCACCACCACCUCCUUACUAUUACAAAUCACCUCCACCACCAUCCCCAUCACCACCACCUCCAUACUACUACAAAAGUCCCCCUCCACCAUCUCCAUCUCCUCCAUCCCCAUAUUACUACAAAUCUCCACCACCACCAUCACCAUCCCCACCCCCUCCCUACUAUUACAAAUCACCUCCACCUCCCUCACCAUCACCGCCACCUCCUUACUAUUACAAAUCUCCCCCACCUCCAUCUCCAUCUCCACCACCUCCUUAUCACUAUCAAAGUCCUCCUCCCCCAUCUCCCAUUUCUCAUCCUCCCAACUACUACAAAUCCCCUCCACCACCAUCGCCAUCUCCUCCACCUCCAUACCAUUACGUGAGUCCUCCCCCACCAGUAAAGUCACCUCCACCACCAGCUUACAUCUAUGCUUCUCCACCACCACCAAUCUACAACUAGCCUCACAACACCAAAUCACCAUUGGUGAUAAAUUAUGUAAGUUUACCAUUAUUGCAAUCAUAACACUUGCAUCUUUUCCCACCCAUACACACACAUAUCACAUGUUUAAAUUUUAUGUACUAAUCAACAAAAACUCUUAUUUGUUUUCAGGUUCUAGUUUUCAUCAAGGAAUAAAGUCGUCCAUUUGGAGCAAAGUGAAACAACUAGCUCUCUGUCCAAAUUAUUUGAUGGCCAUCUUGCACUUCCUAAUCUUAUUGUGUUCAAGUGACUGGCUAAUCAAAAUGUGGAAGCGAGAUUAAUUUAUUUAUUAUCUCUUUGAUUUAUAUGUGCAUAGAUUGAUAUUUCCCUGUAUGAUAACUUUAUUUUUAUUGAGGAUUUUUUGUAUUGUACCCUGUUGUGUUUGUUAAAAUAAGUAUUAUCAAUGAAGAAUUACCUUCAAUUUCUUUCCACCUAAUUAGUUCUUGUUUCUUUUAAACAACUAUCAAGCAUGUCAGCAAGGCAAAGCAUACCACUACCACCAUAUCACCAUAAAAUGCAUCAUUAUUCAUUGCAUAUGAGAUAAAUAUAUGCAAACUAUAUCUAAUUAUUAAGAGGGGGAAAAAACUAAUGUACAGAAAAUGUACCUCAAGGCUUCAGGAUAGGUGUUAGAAACCCAAGCUUUUAAUAGCUCUCUCCAAGAAUCCUCGUUUCUACAACUUAAGUUCCUAUAUUAAUCAAUUAUAAUAUAUGAGAAACUUAUGUUGUCGACCAACAAUACAGGUGACUCAAAAAAAUAUUAUAUUUUAAAAGUCAAACCUUGAGCUAUACACAUGUAAGCAUCAUCAAUAUAAGUUUCACCAUUGUUCAUGUGUAUUAUUCCAUAAAUUUUGGCUCAGUUGAGGUUACUACACUGGUUUUCUUCCUAUUGUAUCAUAUAUUUAAAUACUAUGGUGCGUUUGGAUAAACAGCUUAUGUCACAAGCACUUAUCAUGAUAAGCGCUUUUGUAUAAACUUGCAUGAGUUAUUUUCAUAUCAAAAGAUAAACAAGAACAUUAAAUUGUUUUUGUAUAUUACUUAAGUUGUUUUCAUAAGCUAUGUUGAAGAACUAAUGAAAAUUAGCUGAAAAAAGCUUAUGCUGUUUUCAUGAAUUCUCCCUAACAGUCUCACAAUAUUUAUGUCAGUAUAUAAUCAAAUAAGUCAAUCCAAACAGGCCCCACGUCUUCUAUAUUAGACCAUAUGACAAUUUCUUUUCGGUUUAUUCUCAUUAAAAGUUAAAAAUGGUGUAUUUGAAUCCUAUAAUUCUUUGUCAUACAAGUGCAUUCAAAUACAAUUUGAAGCCAUGGUGAAAGUGUUUAAUUUGCAGAGCUCACCAACAUAAUCUAACGUAUAUUUGGAUUGACUUAUUUGAACUUAUCUACUAGCACAAAUACUUGUGAGAUUGUUUACGAAAGUUUAUGGAAAAAACUUACAACACACACAUAAGUUGUUUUCAGCUUAUUUCCAUAAACUCUUCAAAAUAGCUUAUGAAACAACUUAUAUGAUAAGAGCUUAUUCUAUAAGCGCUUAAUUAAGUUUUAAUCCAUUCUUCUUCUACCUUCAUCUUCAGUUAACAAAACGAAUACAAUUUCUGAAAAUUCAAAGUUCAAACACCAAAAAAUACCUAAAAUGAAAAAUUGUUGAAUGAAAGCGCAAAUAGAACCUGGCAAUGCGUUCGAGAAGCACGUGGAGGAGGUGGCGUGGCAGAAGAAUGUGUGGAUUUCAUCGGAGAAUUUCAGUUCUGCUCGCGCCAUUUAAGAAAUUUUGUAAACUUAAAGUUUAGUUUAAGUUUACCCCUCUUUUUUUUUCAUUUUAAAGGAGUUUACCCUACAAAUUUUUGUAUGUUUUUGCCACGUUUACAAAUGAUUUAAUAUGUUUUUAUCCUAUAUAUAUUUAGGGAUGUAAAUGGAUAUUAUGAUGCGGAUAGUGUAAUAUUUGUGUCUGUUCCAUUGGAUAAAUAUGAAAUCUGUACCAUAUUCAUAUCGUACGGAUAUCUGUUUAGCGGGUAAUCCACAGAUUUUGAGAUAUUUGAGUGUUUAUAGAUAUAUUCAUUGAUAACAUUUAUAAAAAUAAAAUAAAAAAUUUGUUUAAUUCUUUUUAGAGACAAAGGUUCUUCAUAUGCAUUUUCUUUUCUUUUUAACAAAACAUAAUAUUCAUACAUUAUAAUAACAACAAAGAUCAUUGACUCAACAAAAACAUAAAUAAAGUUGCUUACAUUUAAUAAAAAUAAAGUUAUUUGAUUUAACAAAAACAAAGCUCUUGCAUCAACAAUCCCAACCACUUUCACUUCCUUUUAAAAGAGUGUAAUAACAAAUAACACUCACAAUACAUAAGGUUUUUUUUUAGGAAGUUGAAUGAUAUUAAGGUUAUUUAUGUAAUUUACUCGGUUUAAUAGUCGGUAUGGAUAUCCACGGGUGUGGAUACCGUUAAAUCCGCAUCCAUAUCCAUUAAUUAGCAGGUAGUUAAAAAAUUCAUUUAUUUUAUCCAUUGAUAUCCAUUAAGGUAUCCGCUCCGUGCCCGUGACGGAUUAUAUCCGCGGAUAUUCACGGGUGCGAAUUUUUUUGUCAUCCCUAUAUAUAUAUAUUAGUCUUAAACUUGACUAUUUUUUAUUAUCAUUUGGUGCUAUAAUUAAAAAAAAAAAAAAAAUAUUGUUCGUCUGAGCCAUUUAGCUACAGGCUAUUACUUUUCUCAUUCUACAUGUUUCUCGCUUGUCCUAUUUUUUUUUUAAUACUUUUUGCUCGAAUUCUAAAAUCUAAACUCCUAUAGGGAUUUUUGGAUUCUAUAAUCCAAAACACGUUGAAACCCAAAAAUAAAAUAAAAAACUAUGUAAUUGAAAUCAAAGAUCUCUACUGCUAAUGCACGUUUUCCACAAAAACUACAAAGUAAUUUCAAAGUAAUUUCACAAAAACUAUCGUAUGAAUAGACAGCAAUGAGCAUGAUAUCAUAAAUAACUCAAAACUUUAUAAAAAUAAAAAUAAAAAAAUGAAUAAGAAGAUGUGAAGAAUGAAUGUAAACGUUGGAGGAUACAAAGCUAUUUAUAGACAUAAAAUGUUCCUAGACUCUAAAGUGGGUCAAAGAAAACAUGAAUAACAUUUACAACUUAAUUAACACAUCACAGAUCAUUCAAACCUUUGGUGUAACAUCAUCGUAUGUAGUCUGGCACAGUUUGGAUUAUACAAUCUGAACAUUUCAUAAGCAGUUUGGAUUAUAUAAUUUGAACUAUCCCAGACUGUGUUUCAGCUUGAUGUUUGGAGGGUUUUGUAUGGUGGAUAACACAAAAAAAUGACAUAAUUCAACAACGUAAAAAAUAUAAUAAGAUAAGUGAUGAUGAAAGGGAAGCCGCACCAAGAGGUGUUUUUGAAUUCGAUCCAGUUGUCCUAUCAACUGACAUAUAUUUCUAUUGGCAUGGCAGCAAGAUCAAGUUUCAAAACGACCUUUUUGUGUUCAUAUCCGCAAAAUAAUGAUGAAAGGCAAGGUAUUCCAAGAAGUGUUUUUUAACUUGAUCUCGCUACCUUGUCAACUAACAUAUUUCUAUAGACAGUGCAGCAAGAUCAAAUUUAUAACAACCUCUAGGUGUUCAUAUCCGCUAAGUAAUUUUUCGUAGUUCUUUAUUGUGAUCUACAAAAAAAAAAAAAAAAAAGAUCUAUUUAUAUAAGUUUAUGUGCGUCGCGAACCAGAUAAAUUUUCGAUGCAUUGUGGACCAAAAAAAAAUUCUAAUUCGGACUAAACAAGAUGAAUUUUCCUUCACCCUAGAAAGUAAAAGUUUUGACAAACACAAGACUGAUUAUACAUUAAAUACAACAAUCAGCCAAACUAAACAUAUUAGAUCACAAAUCUUUCAAACUAACUUCUUCAUUGGAUUCCUCCAAGAGAGCCUUGAUUUAUUUGUAUGUUCUAGGCCGAAUCAAUUUUUUUUAAUAUCUUUGAAAGGGCCCGACCAAGAAAACAUCCAACUCAAUUGGUCAUUUAAUACCGUACUGACCAAAUAUUAAAACAUUAUUCUCUUAUCGCAUUGUUCCUGAGUUUAAUCUAGGUAAACUAGAUGCUUUCAUCUUAGCCAAUCGAUGGACUUUGAUGCUCAACAUUGUCCAUCCUUCUUGUGUCUGUGUUGUUGAGUCGACGGUUGAUUUAGUCCAGCUAAUAUUGGACUUUCCCCCAUUGUAGUAAACUACAGUUAGUUUGGUGUCAGAUCAAUGAUUGAAGUGUUCAUGAUUAUUUGGUGUGGUUUAUAGCAAAUGAAAACAAGCACACCAAUUUAUAGAAGUUUAUGUGCGCCGCGGACUACAAUAACUAUUGGUGCAAUGAAGACCAUAGAAAAAGCAUGUACUUGGCUGAUUUGGAUUAUAUAAUUUACAUUGUCCCUCACCCUACAAAGUACAAAUUUCAACACAAUAUUGAACCAAUUCGGAUUAUAGAAUCCAAUCAUUUAUGAGAUAAUUUCGGAUUAUAUAAUUAAAACUAGUUCACAAUGUGAACCGCAGCUUGGUCAGCAAGACUAACUCAUUAAAAAUGUUUUUUAAGUUGGUGAACGACGCUUGACUGGUCAGCAAGACUUGAAAACAAUUUUCGUACCAUGCAUUAAUGGACCAUUACCCUCUAUGAAAUGUACUUCACAAAUUCUCCUUCCGAAUACCCACUAAUACAUCACAAAUUCUUAUUUCAUCUCACAUUCUCUCGUUCUUUUUACUUCUACAAUGUGCUUCCAUAGUUUGUGUUUCAUACAAAAAUGUUACUCUAAUAUUUUAUGGAUUGUAUGAAUGGUCAAAAGGCAAAAAUUGGCACCAUCUGUUUGGAUGUAAGGUUGAUCAUCAAAGUCUAAUCCACUAAGAGAGGAAACAAACCUUACCCCAACCUCAUUCCCCAUUCAUCUUCUUGCACCGCAUGUUUAAAUGAUACUCCCUCCGGUCCUAUUUAUAAGAGAAAGUUAGGUCAACAAAAGUUGAUGUAUCUGAACUGAAUUUUUAACCGGAUACAUCAACUUUUGUUGACCCAAAUUUCUCUUAUAAAUAGGACCGGAGGGAGUAUUUGUACAACCAUUUUGGUACAACUUUUGUACAACUUUCUCUCUCAUACUCACAUUAUGUUUUUAUUCUCUCUCUUACUUUUUUUCUCUCCAUUGUGGUUGACCAAUAAGAAGGGAGAAUAUCAAGGUUGUCACAAAAAUUGUAACAAAAGAGUUGUUCAAAUAUCAUUACUCUUAUCAUUAUGUGUUAAAUAAUUUUGUGUAAUAAGCUUCAAUGACAAUGUAAAUAUACAAUAAAAGAUAUAAAUUAUUCAUAAAAUGAAAAUUUUAUUCAUUUAUCUUUUUAUAUUUUUGUCUCUUUUAGUUUCAGUCAUUUUCAAUUAUGCAUUCUUAAUAUUAUGUCAAUGUUGAUCAAUAAUUAUUGGCAAAAGAAGUUUUCAUGUUAUAGAAUAUGAAAAUCCCUGGUACCAAAAAAAAAAAAAAUCUGAAAAUCCCUCUAUAGGAUUUCAGAUUUUAGAAUCCGACCAAAUGGUAUUUUGAAGAGAGAAAAAUAGUGUGUCUAAGUAACUCAUGUUGAGAAAAGUAAUAGCCUUAAUUAUGUCUCCGAUAAACAUUUUAUUCCCUUCCGUUAAUCAGUUAAUCCCAAAUGUCUAAGGUGAACCAAUAUUAUAGGUGGUCUACCAUAAACCUCAUAACAAUUUUAAGGUCAAAUACCACUUUUGGUCAUUUUAGUUUGACAGAAUUCUCAAGUUAGUCAUUUAAGUUUCGAAAGUUUCAAUUAGGUCCUUUUAGUUUGACAGAAUUCCCAAGUUAAUCCUUUAAGUCAUAAAAUUCAGGGGAGCAAAGUAGAUACUCCAGUUUUCAGAGGCGGAGACAUAGUCAUGUCAAAAGCAUCCCACAUCCUAUUACCACCUACUUGAACUCAUCAAGCUUGGUAUGGACCAUUCACAGUAACAUGUGUAUGUAGUCUCGUGGAGAUCUGGGACAAUAUCAAAUGGCAUGCUAAGGUGAAUCGACACAAACUGAAGCAUGUUAAAGAUUGCAUCCGGAAAAUGAAAGUUGAAGAAGAUGAACCUGCUUUGAAGAGGUUCAAGGGCACAACAUAGACUUAUUCUCCAUGUUCAAGAUGUAAAACACGCAUUGAACGAGAGACAACCCAUUAAUUUAUUUUCUCCGUUAUUUGUCUUGUGUCAUUUUUGCUCGAAUUUUUUGCCGUCAAUUCUUUAUGAAUUAUCAGUCAUAUUAUAUUACACACUAGACAAUUUUUUUGGUACCUUGAGCCUUUUCAAUCCGCCCUUAUCAUCAUUAUAUCCUUUGCUAAAUCCCUUUGAGCUUCCAUGCAUUAUUUCUUUUGUUUUUUUUAUUAAGUAACAAAUCAUGUCACAAGUUUGAACUUUUAAUGCCAUCUAUUUGAUUUCUUUUAUAGUUAGAUAGAAUAUUUUUAAGAACUUGGUAUGAUUUGAAUAUAUGUUAGGGUUAUAAGGGAGAAAUGUAAUGGCAAAGAGGAAGAGCAAGAAAAGAGAUGAAAGAUGAAGGGACAUUAGGCAGACUCAAUCACGGUAGUUAGAAUGAUUGCCUUCUGUUUUGCAGUAAUUUGCAUGAGCUUCACUUUUCAAGUAGAGUAAAAAAAACAGGAAUAGAUAGACACAUUUCUUCUAAGUUUGAGUAGUGAGUGAUAACACUUCUAUGUAAUCCCUAAAAAAAAACACUUCUAUGUAAAAAAAUCACAUGGGAAAUCCAUUCCUAUAGUACACGUAAUUUUGAUCUGGAAGGUUGACUUUUCAACAAAAUAACCUAAAAUAAUUUGUUCAUAACAUAAUAGAGGAAUCUAGAAGUGUUCGCGGUGCGGUUUGAUUCGGUUUUGAGCAAAAAAGUCAUCCAAACCGCGCGAUAAAAAAACAUGUGGUUUGGUUCGGUUGAUUUUUAAAAAAUCAUCCAAACCAAACCAAACUAAACCAAUACGGUUUGGAUUGGUUCGGUUUGUGCGGUUUAUCGCGAGAUAAAAAAAAAAUAUUACAUUAACUCUAAUAUUUCCAAAUUGUUACAAAAUAAACAUAGAACGUUUUUUUAUUUAUUUUUAUAUGAUAAAAUAUUAGGUAAAACUCAUAUCAAAAUAGGUAAAAUUAAGAAGAAUUUAUAAGCAUGAAACAAAUUAUUGGAAAGUAAAGGAAACAAAUUUAAGUAAUAUUCAUUAUUCUUGCAGCUAUGUAAUUGGGCUAGAAACAUUUUAUUUUGAUGUUUAUAUCGAACAUGAUGGUGCAACAAUGGAAAAAUCAAAUCAAAAAAGAUUAUUCUUGAGCUAUGUAAUUGAGCUAGUACAUAUUUAAGUAAUAUUCAUUAUUCUUGCGGUUUGGUUUGGUUUGAUUCGGUUGCUGAGAUGCAAACCGCAAAUCAAACCAAACUGUAUGUUUUAGUGCAAAAGUCAUCUGAAUUCAUCCGAAAUCAAGUACGAUUUUUUACGAUUUUGAAUUGGUUUAAUUUGCCGUUUUUCUAUUGGAUUGGUUCGGUUUGAACGAUCUGCAUGAAUUCUUCUAGUUGAUUGUUGGACUAUUUUUAAUUGGCAAAGGCUUAGUUGUCCAUUUAUAAAUAUAAAUACUAUUAUUACAUUAUCCAAUCCAAUAGCACCAAAACCAAUAUAAUAAUGGUAAUUUGCAAUUUUGCACGUUUCAUUCAUUUAUUGGUGCCUUAAUUUUGGGUUACAGACCGACAUUGAUCAGUUGCUAAAAAACCACUGCAUCCUUAUUUUUUACGAGGUAGAUGCAUCGGACAAAUAAACCGACAAACAAAGCUAUUCAGAAAGUGCUCAGAAAUUUUUUGUGCCCCAACAGAAAAUAUUAAGAAAGUCUUGCUACACAGUGUCUUGUAUACAAGUGAAAUAUGUGUGGUAUUAUGCACAAGUUUAUUUUUACAAGUUGAUAUAAGAAUCUAAGUAUAUUUUUAUGGAAAAUUAAUGCUAACAAAUACUUUCAAAGCAUUGUUUAAGCAAUCAAUAUUAGUAACUUUUGCAUAGAAAUAUGUGUGAUUAUUAUUUUUUCAUAUGUUUUAUAUGUUUUCAAGAAAAUAUUUUUAUUUAUGGUUUUUUUAAAUAGUGUCCUUAGGUACUUGUUAGCAAAAUCUUAUUUAUAUAAGUUGAUCUAAGAAUCUCAUUAUUGUAUCGAGUGAGAUACGGCCAUACCGAAGCUUAUGGAUUCCAUAGUGGAAAAAUAACUUUUCAUCAGUGCAAUACUAUUUUAGUUGUAGAAUUUCUUUUCUUGUGUGUCCUAUUUCAGAUUUUAAAAUCCAAACAAUCGAAGGUUUAUGAAGGUUUUUCGAACAUUUUCGCACUGUUUGAAUUAUAUGAUCUGAAAUGUCAUAGAACAUGCGAGAAGCAAGUUGAAUGAAAUAAAAAACUCCUGCUCAAUAGAAUUAUUUUACUUGGUUAUUGUUUGAAUUUUAUUCUCCUUCAAAGACGGCAAUGUGCAAUUGUGCAUUUCAUCCGGAGAGUGGCAACAUCUCAUGCAUGUUCAUCUCAUAUAACUGAGAAGUCACAUGGCUUGGAAAAUCUUAAACCGAGAAAAACAAAAGGAGUAAAAGUAAUAAUAGUGAACCAAAGUGAAGAUGAACUUGUAGUCUAUCAAAAGAAGAUGAACUUGUUCGUCUUGGCAUAGUAACUCAUUUUUAUUCCUUGUUACCUAUGAAACACGGACAAUAGAUACAACACGGACACCAAUACGUUAAUACCGUUAAUAAUAUAAAAAAAUAGGUACAUUGAAUAAUUAAUGUAUUUGACCUAUAAAUGUGACCAGAUAUAUUAAUUAUUCAAUGUAUCUAAAAAGUUGGUUUUUGUUUAUAAAUAUGAUCAUAUGGAGUACUACUUUAGUGUAAUUUUAUGUAUUGGUACUGCGAGACAUCUAAUCUAAAGAGUGUCAAUGUUUUCACACAUAUUACUCACCAAAGUGCACACAUUAUAUGCAUUUAGGUAAACUGAGUUCAUCCAAAAUUGUAACCGCACAAACAGAGGGCCGCUAGGAAAUAUGAGGUAAAUUUGGAUUAUUCUUUAUCAAAAGCUUAUGACCAAAGAAAAACUAUACAAAAACUAAUGUUCAAAAAGUACAUAAAGUAAUAAUGCAAAGUCAAUGUGUAUAUAUAUUUCACCAUUAAAUAAAAGGGGAAAAAAAUCUCCAUACACAGCUUGCAAUAGCUACCAUCAUGGCCUAAAGCAAAUAUCAUAUGACCACUAAAAAACAAUAGAAAAUAAACAAAUAAAAAGAGAAAAACAAAAGAGAAAAUGGUAUAAAGAAAUCAUGUAGUAGUUAGUUUUUUCUCAAGAUGGGCAACUCAGCAGGGCUGCUAGGAGGAAAUUACAAAAGAACAUGACACUUAACUUCUCUAAUCAUUCAAAAUUUGUCAAGAUGCUGAUUAUAUAUUUUAAUUAGUAGUUAGAGAUUGUUAUAGUAACGUGUUCUAGCCAUCAAGAAUAAAACAAUGUCAUGGAAAAGAAGUGGCCUACUAGAAGAAUUAAUUUAAAGCAUUUACACCAAAAUAAAAACAAAUUGAAUAUUGGAAUUGGUCCUUCAUGAUAGCUUCCCCUUAACAACUAACUCUAACUAUAAAUACUGAAUCUUGCAUGCAACAUUUCAUAGUAAACACUAAGACCAAAACCUCUUCUUUCUAUCCAUGACUGCUAGGGCUAGUUGCCCCAAAAUGGGGCAUUUUUGGCCACAAAUGGCAAUGGCAUUGGCCAUUGUUUUGAUUUCUACUACUAUGGUUUCUGCUUCUGAUAGCUACAUUUACUCUUCGCCUCCACCACCUUAUGAGUACAAGUCCCCACCACCGCCGUCUCCCUCACCACCUCCUCCUUAUGUGUAUAAGUCACCACCUCCCCCAUCCUCGUCACCCCCACCACCAUAUGAGCACAAGGCUCCAUCUUAUGAGUACAAGUCACCACCACCACCAACUUCUUCACCACCACCUCCUUAUGUAUACAAGUCACCACCACCACCAUCUCCUUCACCGUCACCUCCUUAUGUGUACAAGUCACCACCACCUCCAUCCCCAUCACCCCCACCUCCUUACGUGUACAAGUCACCACCACCACCCUCGCCUUCCCCGCCCCCACCAUACUAUUACAAGUCUCCUCCACCACCCUCGCCUUCCCCACCGCCACCAUACUAUUACAAGAGUCCUCCACCACCCUCUCCUUCACCUCCACCUCCUUACUACUAUAAAUCGCCUCCACCACCCUCACCUUCCCCUCCCCCACCAUACUAUUACAAGUCUCCUCCACCACCAUCUCCCUCACCACCUCCUCCAUAUUACUACAAGUCUCCCACACCACCUUCACCCUCCUCUCCACCCCCAUAUAUACACAAGGAUCCACCAUACUAUUACAAGUCCCCACCACCCCCUUCACCAUCUCCUCCACCACCAUACUACUAUAAAUCUCCCCCACCACCCUCACCCUCUCCACCCCCACCUUACUAUUACAAGUCUCCUCCACCACCUUCACCAUCUCCUCCACCACCAUACUAUUACAAAUCUCCUCCUCCUCCAUCUCCUAUUCCCCAUACACCUUACUAUUACAAAUCUCCCCCACCACCUUCACCAUCUCCUCCACCACCAUACUAUUACAAAUCUCCUCCUCCUCCAUCUCCUAUUCCCCGUACACCUUACUAUUACAAAUCUCCCCCACCACCUUCACCAUCUCCUCCACCACCAUACUACUACAAAUCCCCUCCUCAUCCAU
rnacentral:lncRNA from 1 species